CAGGGUACUCGAGUGGCGAACGGGUGAGUAACACGUGGGUGAUCUGCCCUGCACUUCGGGAUAAGCUUGGGAAACUGGGUCUAAUACCGGAUAGGAGCCGUCUUUAGUGUGGUGGUUGGAAAGUUUUUUCGGUGUAGGAUGAGCUCGCGGCCUAUCAGCUUGUUGGUGGGGUAAUGGCCUACCAAGGCGGCGACGGGUAGCCGGCCUGAGAGGGUGUACGGCCACAUUGGGACUGAGAUACGGCCCAG
rnacentral:rRNA from 1 species